UACGAGGGGGGCGAGCGUUGUUCGGAAUUACUGGGCGUAAAGCGUGCGCAGGCGGUGAUGUAAGACAGAUGUGAAAUCCCCGGGCUCAACCUGGGAACUGCAUUUGUGACUGCAUCGCUGGAGUGCGGCAGAGGGGGAUGGAAUUCCGCGUGUAGCAGUGAAAUGCGUAGAUAUUGGGAAGAACACCGGUGGCGAAGGCGGCUCUCUGGACCGUAACUGACGCUGAGGCGCGAAAGCGUGGGGAGCAAACAGG
rnacentral:rRNA from 1 species